UGGCUCAGAACGAACGCUGGCGGCACGCCUAACACAUGCAAGUCGAGCGGGAUCUUCGGAUCUAGCGGCGGACGGGUUAGUAACGCGUGGGAACGUACCCAGAUCUACGGAAUAGCCUCGGGAAACUGAGAGUAAUACCGUAUACGCCCUUCGGGGGAAAGAUUUAUCGGAUUUGGAUCGGCCCGCGUAAGAUUAGAUAGUUGGUGGGGUAAUGGCCUACCAAGUCUACGAUCUUUAGCUGGUUUGAGAGGAUGAUCAGCAACACUGGGACUGAGACACGGCCCAGACUCCUACGGGAGGCAGCAGUGGGGAAUCUUAGACAAUGGGCGCAAGCCUGAUCUAGCGAUGCCGCGUGAGUGAUGAAAGCCUUAGGGUCGUAAAGCUCUUUCGCCUGUGAAGAUAAUGACG
rnacentral:rRNA from 1 species